rnacentral:rRNA from 1 species
UCAAGUUAUUAAGGGUGCAGGGCGGAUGCCUUGGCACUAGGAGCCGAUGAAGGACGUGAUAAGCUGCGAUAAGCUUCGGGGAGUUGCACGUAAACUUUGAUCCGAAGAUUUCCGAAUGAGGAAACUCACUUAGAGUAAUGUCUAAGUAUCAUUAAGUGAAUACAUAGCUUAAUGAGGGGAACUCAGGGAACUGAAACAUCUAAGUACCUGAAGGAAGAGAAAGAAAUUCGAUUCCGUAAGUAGCGGCGAGCGAACGCGGAUUAGCCCAAACCAAUAAAGUUUUCUUUAUUGGGGUUGCGGACAUAUCAUAACGAAGAGGUAUCGUAAUUGAAGAGGUUUGGAAAGACCCACCACAGAAGGUAAUAGUCCUGUAUGUUAAACGAGAAGACUUUAGAUAUGAUCCAGAGUACCACGGGACACGUGAAACCCUGUGGGAAGCAGGAGGGACCACCCUCCAAGGCUAAAUACUACCUAGUGACCGAUAGCGUAUAGUACCGUGAGGGAAAGGUGAAAAGAACCCCGGGAGGGGAGUGAAAUAGAACCUGAAACCCUGCACUUACAAGCUGUGGAAGCACAUUUCUUGUGUGACCGCGUACUUUUUGUAGAACGGGCCAACGAGUUACGUUAAGUAGCAAGGUUAAGCACUUAAGGUGUGGAGCCGUAGCGAAAGCGAGUUUUAACUGAGCGUUCAGUUACUUGACGUAGACCCGAAACCGGGCGACCUACCCAUGAGCAGGAUGAAGCGAAAGUAAAAUUUCGUGGAGGUCCGAACCCACGAGCGUUGAAAAGCUCGGGGAUGACUUGUGGGUAGCGGUGAAAUUCCAAUCGAGCCCGGAGAUAGCUGGUUCUCCCCGAAAUAGCUUUAGGGCUAGCCUCAAGGUGAGAGAUACGGAGGUAGAGCACUGAAUGUCCUAGGGGGUAUUGCACCUACCGAAGACUAUCAAACUCCGAAUGCCGUCAUCUUAUACUUGGGAGUCAGACUGUGGGUGAUAAGAUUCAUAGUCGAAAGGGCAACAGCCCAGAUCGUCAGCUAAGGUCCCUAAAUGUAAGUUAAGUGGUAAAGGAUGUGGGAUUGCACAGACAACCAGGAUGUUGGCUUAGAAGCAGCCACUCAUUCAAAGAGUGCGUAAUAGCUCACUGGUCGAGUGAUCCUGCGCCGAAGAUUUCCGGGGCUAAAACUUACUACCGAAGCUACGGCAUCAGUAAUGAUGGGUAGGGGAGCUUCCCAUACGGGUUGAAGCAUGACCGUAAGGACAUGUGGACAGUAUGGGAGUGAGAAUGUUGGCAUGAGUAGCGAGAUGUGGGUGAGAAUCCCACAGGCCGUAAACCCAAGGUUUCCAGGGGAAGGUUCGUCCGCCCUGGGUUAGUCGGGACCUAAGCUGAGGCCGAAAGGCGUAGGUGAUGGACAACAGGUUGAUAUUCCUGUACUACCGAUAACCGUUUGAGAGAAGGGAUGACACAGUAGGAUAAGCUAAGCACACUGUUGGUUAUGUGUGCCCAAGCAUUGAGGCAGUCAAAGUAGGCAAAUCCGCUUUGAUAAUGCUGGGAUGUGAUGGGGAGCGAAAUUUAGUAGCGAAGUAGCUGAUUUCACACUGUCAAGAAAAGUCUCUAUCGAGGUUAAAGGUACCCGUACCGCAAACCGACACAGGUGGGUGAGGAGAGUAUCCUAAGGCCAGCGAGAGAACUGUUGUUAAGGAACUCGGCAAAAUGACCCCGUAACUUAGGGAUAAGGGGUGCCACCAUCAGGUGGCCGCAGAGAAUAGGCCCAAGCGACUGUUUACCAAAAACAUAGGUUUCUGCUAAGUCGCAAGACGAUGUAUAGGAGCUGACGCCUGCCCGGUGCUGGAAGGUUAAGGGGAUCUGUUAGAGCAAUCGAAGCAGUGAACUUAAGCCCCAGUAAACGGCGGCCGUAACUAUAACGGUCCUAAGGUAGCGAAAUUCCUUGUCGGGUAAGUUCCGACCCGCACGAAAGGCGUAACGAUUUGGGCACUGUCUCAACAACAGACUCGGUGAAAUUGUAAUUCCGGUGAAGAUGCCGGAUACCUGCGACAGGACGGAAAGACCCCAUGGAGCUUUACUGUAGCUUGACAUUGGGUCUUGGUACUACAUGUACAGGAUAGGUGGGAGGCUUUGAAACCAGGACGCCAGUUUUGGCGGAGCCAUCCUUGGGAUACCACCCUUGUAGUACUGGGACUCUAACCAUAGGCCAUGAAUCUGGUCUUGGGACACUGUCAGGUGGGCAGUUUGACUGGGGCGGUCGCCUCCCAAAAGGUAACGGAGGCGCUCAAAGGUUCUCUCAGUACGGUCGGAAAUCGUACGUAGAGUGUAAAGGCAAAAGAGAGCUUGAUUGCAAGACAUACAGGUCGAGCAAGGAUGAAAAUCGGACUUAGUGAUCCGGUGGUUCUGCGUGGAAGGGCCAUCGCUCAACGGAUAAAAGCUACCCUGGGGAUAACAGGCUUAUCUCCCCCAAGAGUCCACAUCGACGGGGAGGUUUGGCACCUCGAUGUCGGCUCAUCACAUCCUGGGGCUGUAGUAGGUCCCAAGGGUUGGGCUGUUCGCCCAUUAAAGUGGUACGCGAG